UGUUGGGUUAAGUCCCGCAANGAGCGCAACCCUUGAUUUUAGUUGCCAUCAUUAAGUUGGGCACUCUAAGGUGACUGCCGGUGACAAACCGGAGGAAGGUGGGGAUGACGUCAAAUCAUCAUGCCCCUUAUGACCUGGGCUACACACGUGCUACAAUGGACGGUACAAAGAGCUGCAAGACCGCGAGGUGGAGCUAAUCUCAUAAAACCGUUCUCAGUUUGGAUUGUAGGCUGCAACUYGCCUACAUGAAGCUGGAAUCGCCUAGUAAUCGCGGAUCAGCAUGCCGCGGUGAAUACGUUCCCGGGCCUUGUACACACCGC
rnacentral:rRNA from 1 species